UGAUAAGUUAACUUGUGACAUUAAAUGGAAAAGGGUUAAUAAGUGAAAAUAAAUUUGAAAAUGUUUGGAAAACUUUUAUUGAAUAUGUUUUAAUAAAAGGAAAGGGGUGUGAACCAGCACAAGAGACAAUACAGUUCUGGAAGGGAACUGGGGCAACCUGAAUGAAUAGAUGAUCUUACACUAAAUAAGGUUGUUGUUCUGGUGGUGGU